rnacentral:lncRNA from 1 species
CUCUUCUGCACUUUCCCCAGGGCUGCCCCCGGCGAGCCCAGCCCCAGGCUGAGCACUCGGACCCUGACCCCGGGUGCCGAGCUGAGGGAGCACCCAAGAGGGCUACCAGGUGGUUGGGUGUGGAGUGUUGGCAGCAAGGAGUAAUUAACAUGGAGACAAAAGCAAAAAAUGAUAACAUCAUUUUUAUGUGACUCAUAUGCAAAAUGAAAUACAUUCAUCUAUGAGAUCGGCUGAUGGGAAAUAAAAUCAGAUAUUUUACUUCUAACUCCA